GUUACCUACGGGGCGCAGCAGUGAGGAAUAUUGGUCAAUGGCCGAGAGGCUGAACCAGCCAAGUAGCGUGCAGGAUGACGGCCGUCGUGGUUGUAAACUGCUUUUAGUCGGGAAUAAAAGGGGGUUCGUGAAUCCCGUAUUGUAUGUACCGUCAGAAAAAGGACCGGCUAAUUCCGUGCCAGCAGCCGCGGUAAUACGGAAGGUCCGGGCGUUAUCCGGAUUUAUUGGGUUUAAAGGGAGCGUAGGCGGGCCGUUAAGCCCGUUGCGAAAGUUCGGGGCUCAACCCCGGAAUUGCAGUUGAAACA
rnacentral:rRNA from 1 species